rnacentral:rRNA from 1 species
GUACGCUGGCGGCGUGCUUAACACUGCAGGUUAACGAACUUCGGGUUAGUGGCGGACGGGUGGGUAACGCGUGAGAAUCUGCCUCAGGAGGGGGACAACAGCUGGAAACGGCUGCUAAUACCCCAUAUGCCGCGAGGUGAAAUGAAUUUCGCCUGAGGAUGAGCUCGCGUCUGAUUAGCUAGUUGGUGUAGGUAAUGGCUCACCAAGGCAUCGAUCAGUAGCUGGUCUGAGAGGAUGAUCAGCCACACUGGGACUGAGACACGGCCCAGACUCCUACGGGAGGCAGCAGUGGGGAAUUUUCCGCAAUGGGCGAAAGCCUGACGGAGCAACGCCGCGUGAGGGAUGAAGGCCUCUGGGCUGUAAACCUCUUUUAUCAAGGAAGAAGAUCUGACGGUACUUGAUGAAUAAGCCACGGCUAAUUCCGUGCCAGCAGCCGCGGUAAUACGGGAGUGGCAAGCGUUAUCCGGAAUUAUUGGGCGUAAAGCGUCCGCAGGCGGCCCUUCAAGUCUGCUGUUAAAAAGUGGAGCUUAACUCCACUCAUGGCAGUGGAAACUGUUUGGGCUUGAGUGUGGUAGGCGGCAGAGGGAAUUCCCGGUUGUAGCGGUGAAAAUGCGUAGAUAUCGGGAAGAACACCAGUGGCGAAGGCGCUCUGCUUGGGCCAUCACUGACCGCUCAUGGACGAAAAGCAGG